UCAGAGUAAUAGAUUGAAUUGGGGAAACUGCUUGAAGUUUUUGGAAUCUCUCUCAUUGAUUUCUACAUGUGUUUGCAAGUAGAAUUCGAUAUAUUUUGUAGAAGCCUCGAUGGACUCUUCAAAUUAAAGUCUUGUAUCUGGCAAUUUUCUGUUGGGAAGUAUUUAAUCUAAACUUUUGUAUCAGGAUGCUCUUGAUUAAGCCCCAACUCUGACCUCGUGGGGUUCGAUUGGACUGAUAGGCAACGACUUUCUUUGAAGGUACAUGUGAUGAUUCUUUGCUUCGAUUAAUUGUGGAGAAUGAAAAGAAGAUUGAUCAAAUCAAGAAAUGCUUACGGAGAUUUGGGAGGAAGCAUGUAGACUCAAAUAUGUAGUUUUUGUUUUUUAAUGCAAUGUUUACAAUCAGGGGGUACUCUUUUUCCUUCUGUUAAUGCAAUGAAAAGAAGAUUGUCUUUUGUAAAAUCUUAUAAUUUUAAUAAAAAUAAUUAAUUGAUAAUU